rnacentral:rRNA from 1 species
UCAAUGGAGAGUUUGAUCCUGGCUCAGAGUUAACGCUGGCGGCGCGCCUAACACAUGCAAGUCGAGCGAGGGUCUGUACGACCUAGCGGCAGACGGGUGAGUAAUACGUAGACAAUCUACCCCUGAAUGGAAGAUAACCCGGCGAAAGUCGAGCUAAUAUUCCAUAUAAUCCCGAGGAGGCAUCUUCUUGGGAUGAAAGCAGCAAUGCGUUCAGGGAGGAGUCUGCGACCUAUCAGCUAGUUGGCGGGGUAAUGGCCCACCAAGGCUUUGACGGGUAGCCGAUCUAAAAGGAUGACCGGCCACAAGGGCACUGAGACACGGGCCCUACUCCUACGGGAGGCAGCAGUGGGGAAUUUUGGACAAUGGGGGAAACCCUGAUCCAGCGACGCCGCGUGAAGGACGAAGGUCUUCGGAUCGUAAACUUCUUUUGCAGGGGACGAAACAAAUGACGGUACCCUGCGAAUAAGCCACGGCUAACUACGUGCCAGCAGCCGCGGUAAUACGUAGGUGGCGAGCGUUACUCGGAAUUACUAGGCGUAAAGCGCGUGUAGGCGGGAGCUUAAGUCUGUGGUUAAAUUUCGCAGCCCAACUGCGAACUGUCCACGGAAACUGGGCUUCUUGAGUGAGGUAGAGGGAACCGGAAUUCCAGGUGUAGCGGUAAAAUGCGUAGAUAUCUGGAAGAACGCCCAAGGCGAAGGCAGGUUCCUGGGCCUUUACUGACGCUGAGACGCGAAAGCUAGGGGAGCAAACAGGAUUAGAUACCCUGGUAGUCCUAGCCGUAAACGAUGUAGACCAGGUGUGGGAGGUAUCGACCCCUUCCGUGCCGACGCUAACGCAUUAAGUCUACCGCCUGGGGAGUACGGCCGCAAGGUUAAAACUCAAAGGAAUUGACGGGGGCCCGCACAAGCGGUGGAUCAUGUGGUUCAAUUCGACGCU